AACGAACGCUGGCGGCAGGCUUAACACAUGCAAGUCGAACGCCCCGCAAGGGGAGUGGCAGACGGGUGAGUAGCGCGUGGGAAUCUACCCAUCUCUGCGGAAUAGCUCCGGGAAACUGGAAUUAAUACCGCAUACGCCCUACGGGGGAAAGAUUUAUCGGGGAUGGAUGAGCCCGCGUUGGAUUAGCUAGUUGGUGGGGUAAAGGCCUACCAAGGCGACGAUCCAUAGCUGGUCUGAGAGGAUGAUCAGCCACAUUGGGACUGAGACACGGCCCAAACUCCUACGGGAGGCAGCAGUGGGGAAGAUUGGACAAUGGGCGCAAGCCUGAUCCAGCCAUGCCGCGUGAGUGAUGAAGGCCUUAGGGUUGUAAAGCUCUUUCACCGGUGAAGAUAAUGACGGUAACCGGAGAAGAAGCCCCGGCUAACUUCGUGCCAGCAGCCGCCGCAG
rnacentral:rRNA from 1 species